UACGUAGGGACCAAGCGUUGUUCGGAUUUACUGGGCGUAAAGCGCGUGUAGGCGGCUUCGUAAGUUGGAUGUGAAAUCCCACGGCUCAACCGUGGACGUGCAUCCAAAACUACGUCGCUGGAGUCUCGGAGAGGAAGGUGGAAUGCUUGGUGUAGAGGUGAAAUUCGUAGAUAUCAAGCAGAACACCUGCGGCGAAGGCGGCCUUCUGGACGAUGACUGACGCUGAGACGCGAAAGCGUGGGGAGCAAACAGG
rnacentral:rRNA from 1 species